rnacentral:rRNA from 1 species
AGUGAACGCUGGCGGCAGGCCUAACACAUGCAAGUCGAGCGGCAGCGCGUCCGACCACCCUCGGGUGGUCGGAUGGCGGCGAGCGGCGGACGGGUGAGGAAUGCAUCGGAAUCUGCCUCGUUGUGGGGGAUAACGUAGGGAAACUUACGCUAAUACCGCAUACGACCUACGGGUGAAAGUGGGGGACCUUCGGGCCUCACGCGAUGAGAUGAGCCGAUGCCGGAUUAGCUAGUUGGCGGGGUAAAGGCCCACCAAGGCGACGAUCCGUAGCUGGUCUGAGAGGAUGAUCAGCCACACUGGCACUGAGAUACGGGCCAGACUCCUACGGGAGGCAGCAGUGAGGAAUAUUGCGCAAUGGGCGAAAGCCUGACGCAGCGACGCCGCGUGGGGGAUGAAGGUUUUCGGAUUGUAAACCCCUUUCAUGAGGAAAGAUAAAGUGGGUAACCACUUAGACGGUACCUCAAGAAGAAGCCACGGCUAACUUCGUGCCAGCAG